rnacentral:tRNA from 1 species
GCCGGAGUGGCGGAAUUGGCUUACGCGCAGAAUUCAAAAUUCUGUGGGAUUACUCCCAUGUGGGUUCGACCCCCACCUCCGGCA